UACGUAGGGGGCAAGCGUUGUCCGGAAUCAUUGGGCGUAAAGCGCGUGUAGGCGGUUACGUAAGUCUGCUGUGAAAGUCGGAGGCUCAACCUUCGAAAGCCGGUGGAUACUGCGUGACUAGAGUACGGAAGAGGAGAGUGGAAUUCCUGGUGUAGCGGUGAAAUGCGCAGAUAUCAGGAGGAACACCAACGGCGAAGGCAGCUCUCUGGGACGUUACUGACGCUGAGACGCGAAAGCGUGGGGAGCGAACAGG
rnacentral:rRNA from 1 species